AUGAAUUUACCGCUGAACAACAACCUCUCCAUGUACCUCAUCGCCUGGAGGGGCCCUGAUGACCCAUCUUCCAGCGAUUACUCCUUGGGUGUUGAUUCCAGCUCGAGCCUCCAGAUCCUCGCUAAGAAUGGGUCGAGACCAUACUGGCGCAGAGCUGCAUUGGAUGGUGUAUGGGUAUAUGCCAUGUAUCAGAGCAAAUCUGGCAUCAUCAUGUCCCAAACAAUUGCCAAUAGAGGGGGUGAGUUCUACUUGACAUACACCGUCUCUGACGGCUCACCAAGCAUGCGCGUGAUGCUGCACUACACAGGCAUGGUGAAAUUCCUGGCGUGGAGCAGCAACUCACUGUCUUGGGAGAUUUUCUUGGAGCUCCCCGGUUCUAGCUGUGACAGCUAUGCCUCUUGCGGCCCAUUUGGCUAUUGCGAUGGUACACAAGCGGUUGCAACAUGCAAGUGUCUCGAUGGGUUCGAGUCUGAUGAUCAUAACUUAUCCACAGGAUGUCAGAGGAAAAAGGAGCUGCAUUGUGGUGAAGAAGAUAGUUUCAUUACCUUGCUUAGCAUGAAGACACCCGAUAAGUUCCUGUACAUCAGGAAUAGAAGCUUUGACCAAUGCGCAACAGAAUGCAGCCGCAAUUGCUCAUGCACCGCAUAUGCUUAUGCUAACCUUAGUACUCUGGGAACGACUGUAGACCAGUCGAGGUGCUUAGUUUGGAUGGGGGAGCUUGUUGACACAGGGAAGCACGGUGAUGAUUUCGGAGAGAAUCUGUACCUCCGGAUUCGCAGCUCAUCAGUGAGCAAAAAGAAGACUGGUGCGCUGAAGAUUGCACUCCCAGUCUUGUCAGUUCUAUCAGUGCUUGUGUGCAUUUAUCUUGUCUGGAUAUGCAAGUCAAGAGGCAAGCUCCAAACAAAGGCAUCCAUCGAUAUCUUGAUUGAGGGACAAUUGGGCAAUUAUGAUGAACCAUGCGAUCAGAAAUUUCCGUGGAUUAGAUUCAAAGACAUUGUCCCUGCUACAAACGGUUUCUCUGAUUCCAAUGUGCUUGGAAAAGGUGGCUUUGGCAUAGUAUACAAGGGAACGCUGGAAAGUGGCAUGGAGGUUGCUGUUAAAAGGCUUACCAAGUAUUGUGACCAAGGAAUAGAGCAUUUUAGAAAUGAAGUAGUUCUCAUCGCAAAACUGCAGCAUAGAAACUUAGUUAUACUUCUUGGUUCCUGCAUCCGUGGAGAUGAGAGGCUGCUUAUUUAUGAAUACUUACCUAACAAAAGCUUAGACUACUUCCUAUUUGAUGAUACAAAAAAAUCUAUGCUUGAUUGGCCAACAAGGUUUAGCAUAAUUAAAGGGAUAGCCAGAGGACUUCUGUAUCUCCACCAUGAUUCAAGAAUGACGAUAAUUCACAGAGAUCUCAAAGCAAGCAACAUCUUGUUGGAUGUGGAGAUGAGACCCAAAAUAUCAGAUUUUGGCAUGGCAAGGAUCUUUGGUGACAACCAACAACAAGCAAAUACUAGACAUGUUGUCGGAACAUACGGCUAUAUGUCGCCUGAAUAUGCGAUGGAAGGCAUUUUUUCUGUGAAGUCUGAUGCGUAUAGCUACGGUGUCUUGCUUCUGGAGAUUGUAAGUGGGUUAAAGAUCAGCUCGCCCCAUCACCUUAUAAUGGAUUUUCCAAACCUUAUAGAUUAUGCAUGGAACUUCCUGAAAGAAGGAAAAUCCGGGGAUUUCCUAGACACGGUGCUUCUCAAGAGCUGCUUAAUGCAUCAAGUGUCUCUAUGCAUCCAUAUUGGCCUUUUGUGUGUCCAAGACUGCCCAAGCGCCAGGCCACUAAUGUCGUUAGUCGUGUCUAUGCUGGACAAUGAGGCCAUUCCACUCACGACACCAGAGCAGCCUUUAUAUUCCGUCGGUAGGAAACAUGAUGCAGAAGAAGCAAGGGAGAACUCGGUUAAUAACGCAAGCCUGACAACACUAGCAGGGCGCUAG
rnacentral:rRNA from 1 species